rnacentral:rRNA from 1 species
UACAGAGGUCUCAAGCGUUGUUCGGAUUCAUUGGGCGUAAAGGGUGCGUAGGCGGCGCGGUAAGUCGGGUGUGAAAUCUCGGAGCUUAACUCCGAAACUGCAUUUGAUACUGCCGUGCUUGAGGACUGGAGAGGAGACUGGAAUUUACGGUGUAGCGGUGAAAUGCGUAGAUAUCGUAAGGAAGACCAGUGGCGAAGGCGGGUCUCUGGACAGUUCCUGACGCUGAGGCACGAAGGUCAGGGGAGGCAAACGGG